rnacentral:rRNA from 1 species
GACGAACGCUGGCGGCGUGCCUAAUACAUGCAAGUAGAACGCACAGUUUAUACCGUAGCUUGCUACACCAUAAACUGUGAGUUGCGAACGGGUGAGUAACGCGUAGGUAACCUGCCUGGUAGCGGGGGAUAACUAUUGGAAACGAUAGCUAAUACCGCAUAAUAUUGAUUAUUGCAUGAUAAUUGAUUGAAAGAUGCUAUUGCAUCACUACCAGAUGGACCUGCGUUGUAUUAGCUAGUAGGUGAGGUAACGGCUCACCUAGGCGACGAUACAUAGCCGACCUGAGAGGGUGAUCGGCCACACUGGGACUGAGACACGGCCCAGACUCCUACGGGAGGCAGCAGUAGGGAAUCUUCGGCAAUGGACGAAAGUCUGACCGAGCAACGCCGCGUGAGUGAAGAAGGUUUUCGGAUCGUAAAGCUCUGUUGUAAGAGAAGAACGGGUGUGAGAGCGGAAAGUUCACACUGUGACGGUAUCUUACCAGAAAGGGACGGCUAACUACGUG